rnacentral:tRNA from 1 species
UAGGUAGAAGCUCGCUGGUUGGGGCACCUAGCUGUUAACUAGGGUUUCAUGGGAUCAAGGCCCAUCUGCCUAG